UUUUAGCCCCGAUGGAGCCGAUAUCCUUUUUAUGGCUUUUUCUGCCAUUAAAAGAUAAAGGCGAGAGCGGGAAACAGC
rnacentral:sRNA from 1 species